CCGGCUGACUCGGGGACCACGCGGUCACCGACUGCGCCCUUCGCCCUUCGCGGUCUGCAGAAGAGAGCUUGAGAAACUUCUGUAGUUGCUGGAGUCAACCAACGAUCCUAUAAUUACUAAAAAAGCCUUGGUCACCUUAGGAAAUAAUGCAGCCUUUUCUACUAACCAGGCCAUUAUUCGAGAAGAAUGUGCCCAGAAAAUGAGAGCUUUAGCCUGUCAUCAUGAUGCGGAUGUGAAAGAGAAGGCUUUAGCAAUAAAGCCCAAAUUCUGAUCGGUUGCUCCUAUUUUUAUCAAAGUCUCAAACAGUAAGGCAGUCUUAAGUCAGCACACAGGAGCGUUUGCCUGCCUUUAAAAGGGGUCUUUCAGCCAAUGGAGUUAAACAGUAAAAGUUGUCAGUUUCUUGUUUGCCUUGCACAUCACUGUCGUAACUCUGAAGGUCCAGCAACACCAAUCCAUGUGGAUAAAUUCGCACAUUGGCAAAGCUGCCAUUCUUGUUCGUGUAAGUUGCUAAAUAUCCAUGGUCCUGCCAGGUGUGCACUGACUCUGUCAUCCCCUGCUCCUGAAAAAACUGGACUGAAGGCCUUUCAGAAUGGCCUCACCAUCAGCUUUGGCACCCAGCGUGAAGUCUAGCAUGCUGUGUCUUGCUGCUGCCAUACUGGGGAGGCAACCACAGGAGACUGAGGGACCGUGUCAGGCUGCGGGCCCACAACUAAAUAAUUACAGUCAUGAAAUCUCUGCAAAAGAAGGCGUAAAAGUUCAAUAAAAUACAAUGAACAUG
rnacentral:lncRNA from 1 species